AGGACGAACGCUGGCGGCGUGCUUAACACAUGCAAGUCGAGCGGUAAGGCUCCUUCGGGAGCACACGAGCGGCGAACGGGUGAGUAACACGUGAGCAAUCUGCCCUUCACACUGGGAUAACCCCGGGAAACCGGGGCUAAUACCGGAUGCGACCACCGACGGCAUCGUCUGGUGGUGGAAAGUUCCGGCGGUGGGGGAUGAGCUCGCGGCCUAUCAGCUUGUUGGUGGGGUAAUGGCCUACCAAGGCUUCGACGGGUAGCCGGCCUGAGAGGGUGACCGGCCACACUGGGACUGAGACACGGCCCAGACUCCUACGGGAGGCAGCAGUGGGGAAUAUUGGACAAUGGGCGAAAGCCUGAUCCAGCAACGCCGCGUGAGGGAUGACGGCCUUCGGGUUGUAAACCUCUUUCAGCAGGGACGAAGCGCAAGUGACGGUACCUGCAGAAGAGCACCGGCCAACUACGUGCCAGCAGCCGC
rnacentral:rRNA from 1 species